rnacentral:rRNA from 1 species
ACGGGUGAGUAACACGUGGGUAACCUGCCUGUAAGACUGGGAUAACUCCGGGAAACCGGGGCUAAUACCGGAUGGUUGUUUGAACCGCAUGGUUCAAACAUAAAAGGUGGCUUCGGCUACCACUUACAGAUGGACCCGCGGCGCAUUAGCUAGUUGGUGAGGUAACGGCUCACCAAGGCAACGAUGCGUAGCCGACCUGAGAGGGUGAUCGGCCACACUGGGACUGAGACACGGCCCAGACUCCUACGGGAGGCAGCAGUAGGGAAUCUUCCGCAAUGGACGAAAGUCUGACGGAGCAACGCCGCGUGAGUGAUGAAGGUUUUCGGAUCGUAAAGCUCUGUUGUUAGGGAAGAACAAGUACCGUUCGAAUAGGGCGGUACCUUGACGGUACCUAACCAGAAAGCCACGGCUAACUACGUGCCAGCAGCCGCGGUAAUACGUAGGUGGCAAGCGUUGUCCGGAAUUAUUGGGCGUAAAGGGCUCGCAGGCGGUUUCUUAAGUCUGAUGUGAAAGCCCCCGGCUCAACCGGGGAGGGUCAUUGGAAACUGGGGAACUUGAGUGCAGAAGAGGAGAGUGGAAUUCCACGUGUAGCGGUGAAAUGCGUAGAGAUGUGGAGGAACACCAGUGGCGAAGGCGACUCUCUGGUCUGUAACUGACGCUGAGGAGCGAAAGCGUGGGGAGCGAACAGGAUUAGAUACCCUGGUAGUCCACGCCGUAAACGAUGAGUGCUAAGUGUUAGGGGGUUUCCGCCCCU